rnacentral:rRNA from 1 species
GGGCCCGCACAAGCGGUGGAGCAUGUGGUUUAAUUCGAUGAUACGCGAGGAACCUUACCAGGGCUUAAAUGGGAAAUGACAGGGGCAGAGACGCCCCCUUCUUCGGACAUUUUUCAAGGUGCUGCAUGGUUGUCGUCAGCUCGUGCCGUGAGGUGUCAGGUUAAGUCCUAUAACGAGCGCAACCCCUACCGUUAGUUGCCAGCGUGUAAUGACGGGGACUCUAACGGAACUGCCGGUGCAAACCGUGAGGAAGGUGGGGACGACGUCAAAUCAUCACGGCCCUUACGUCCUGGCCACACACGUGCUACAAUGGCAGUGACAGAGGGACGCUACCAGGUGACUGGAUGCAAA